rnacentral:tRNA from 1 species
GUUUCCGUGGUGUAGUGGUUAUCACAUUCACCUUACACGCGAAAGGUCCUCGGGUCGAAACCGAGCGGAAACA